GCUUUCAUGGUGUAGUGGUCAGCACGCUCGGCGCGUGUUGGAGAGGUCCGUGGUUCGAUUCCCGGUGAGGGCA
rnacentral:tRNA from 1 species